rnacentral:rRNA from 1 species
UACGUAGGGGGCUAGCGUUGUCCGGAAUCAUUGGGCGUAAAGAGCGCGUAGGCGGCUAGAUAAGUCCGGUGUGAAAGUCACAGGCUCAACCUGUGAAUGCCGCUGGAAACUGUCUGGCUAGAGUCCGGAAGGGGCGAGUGGAAUUCCUGGUGUAGCGGUGAAAUGCGCAGAUAUCAGGAGGAACACCAAUGGCGAAGGCAGCUCGCUGGGACGGUACUGACGCUGAGGCGCGAAAGCGAGGGGAGCAAACAGG